rnacentral:rRNA from 1 species
CAGUAGCCGCGGGAAUACAGAGGGUGCGAACGUUAAUCGGAUUUACUGGGCGUAAAGCGUGCGUAGGCGGCUUCUUAAGUCGGAUGUGAAAUCCCUGAGCUUAACUUAGGAAUUGCAUUCGAUACUGGGAAGCUAGAGUAUGGGAGAGGAUGGUAGAAUUCCAGGUGUAGCGGUGAAAUGCGUAGAGAUCUGGAGGAAUACCGAUGGCGAAGGCAGCCAUCUGGCCUAAUACUGACGCUGAGGUACGAAAGCAUGGGGAGCAAACAGGAUUAGAUACCCCCGUAGUCCCUGUCUCUUAUAC